AAGCUCGUAGUUGAAUUUCGGGGUUAGUAGGUUGGUCAUGCCUCUGGUAUGUACUGGUCUCACUGAUUCCUCCCUCCUUAUGAACCGUAAUGCCAUUAAUUUGGUGUUGCGGGGAAUUUGGACUGUUACUUUGAAAAAAUUAGAGUGUUUAAAGCAAGCUAACGCUUGAAUACAUUAGCAUGGAAUAAUGAAAUAGGGACGUUCGAUCUUAUUUUGUUGGUUUUCUUAGGAUUGACGUAAUGAUUAAUAGGGAUAGUUGGG
rnacentral:rRNA from 1 species